ACGGAAGAUGGAGAUUAUCAGGUCAAGCUACGCAACCUGAUCCGUUUCCUAAAUCAUGGCGACAAGGUGAAAAUCACUCUGCGGUUUCGCGGUAGAGAGAUGGCUCAUCAGGAAAUUGGUAUGAAAAUCAUGGAGCGCUUGCAGCGCGAUACUGCCGAACACGCAGUUAUUGAACAGCAUGCAAAACGUGAAGGUCGUCAAUUGUUGAUGGUUUUAGCGCCGAAGAAAAAGCAAUAGUAGUUGUUGAAUAUCUUGAUUUGAUGGAUUCAUUCUGAUCCACAAAUGGAUUGAAAGCGCUACAUCAUAAUUAGCAGUAAUGUGAA
rnacentral:misc_RNA from 1 species